rnacentral:rRNA from 1 species
GAGUUUGAUCUUGGCUCAGAGUGAACGCUGGCGGCAGGCCUAACACAUGCAAGUCGAACGGCAGCGGGUCCUUCGGGAUGCCGGCGAGUGGCGGACGGGUGAGGAAUGCGUCGGAAUCUGCCUCUUUGUGGGGGAUAACGUAGGGAAACUUACGCUAAUACCGCAUACGACCUACGGGUGAAAGCCGGGGACCUUCGGGCCUGGCGCAGAGAGAUGAGCCGACGCCGGAUUAGCUAGUUGGCGGGGUAAAGGCCCACCAAGGCGACGAUCCGUAGCUGGUCUGAGAGGAUGAUCAGCCACACUGGAACUGAGACACGGUCCAGACUCCUACGGGAGGCAGCAGUGGGGAAUAUUGGACAAUGGGCGCAAGCCUGAUCCAGCCAUGCCGCGUGUGUGAAGAAGGCCUUCGGUUGUAAG